rfam:Lepisosteus oculatus linkage group LG14, whole genome shotgun sequence.
GCCAGCAGCUACAGUAUAUCACCCUGCAACUCACAACUGACAACCCAUUGAAGCUAAGCAGGUGUAAGCCUGGUCAGUACCUGGAUGGGAGACCUCCUGGGAAAAACUAAGGUUGCUGCUGGAA